AUCUAAAUGGGAGAUCUGCAGUUUUUUGGGACCAUAUUUUGCAUCAGAAUUGAAUGGAUUUCUGAAAAAUCUGACCAGUUUUUUUGUGUAACUUUGAUUUUUCGUCCCUUGUCAACAUAUGGCCUCGUUUGAUGUUCACUUAAGGUUGUU